rnacentral:rRNA from 1 species
GGACUACUAGGGUAUCUAAUCCUGUUCGCUACCCACGCCUUCGCGCCUCAGUGUCAGUCUAAACCCAGAUUGUCGCCUUCGCCACUGAUGUUCUUUCCGAUCUCUACGCAUUUCACCGCUACACCGAAAAUUCCACAACCCUCUGUUUGACUCAAGUUAACACGUAUUCGAUAAACUCCCCAGGUUAAGCCCGGGACUUUCUCAUCAAACCUCGCUAACCACCUACACGCCCUUUACGCCCAGUCAUUCCGAUUAACGCUCGCACCCUCUGUAUUACCGCGGCUGCUGGCAC